GGGCAAUGCAUGAGGCAUGGUGUGCGACUUCCGUUCGAAUUUCGCUGACAAAGUACUUUUUCUUUUUUUUUAAAUUUUGUUUUCAGUAUUGUUUCAAGUAAUGUUACUUAUUUUUAAGAGGUACUCGCAUCGGGCAACAUUCCACAGUGGAACGAUGGGAGGAG
rnacentral:lncRNA from 1 species